rnacentral:rRNA from 1 species
UACGGGGGGAGCAAGCGUUGUUCGGAUUUACUGGGCGUAAAGGGCGCGUAGGCGGCCACCGCAAGUCGGUUGUGAAAUCCCCGGGCUCAACCUGGGAACUGCAUCUGUGACUGCAUCGCUGGAGUGCGGCAGAGGGGGAUGGAAUUCCGCGUGUAGCAGUGAAAUGCGUAGAUAUGCGGAGGAACACCGAUGGCGAAGGCAAUCCCCUGGGCCUGCACUGACGCUCAUGCACGAAAGCGUGGGGAGCAAACAGG